UGGGGAAUAUUGCGCAAUGGGGGAAACCCUGACGCAGCGACGCCGCGUGUGGGAUGAAGGUCUUCGGAUUGUAAACCACUGUCGCGAGGGACGAAGCUCUGACGGUACCUCGAAAGGAAGCACCGGCUAACUCUGUGCCAGCAGCCGCGGUAAUACAGAGGGGGCAAGCGUUGUUCGGAAUUACUGGGCGUAAAGGGCGCGUAGGCGGCCUUCUAAGUCAGACGUGAAAUCCCCGGGCUCAACCCGGGAACUGCGUCUGAUACUGGAGGGCUUGAAUCCGGGAGAGGGAUGUGGAAUUCCAGGUGUAGCGGUGAAAUGCGUAGAUAUCUGGAGGAACACCGGUGGCGAAGGCGGCAUCCUGGACCGGUAUUGACGCUGAGGCGCGAAAGCCAGGGGAGCAAACGGGAUUAGAUACCCCCGUAGUCCCUGAGCGGGCUGGCAAGGCGCAU
rnacentral:rRNA from 1 species